rnacentral:rRNA from 1 species
UGAGCGGGACGGAAAGAGGAUCGAGAAAGCCUUGAGCUUUCUUGAUGGAGGGGAGUGGCAGACGGGUGAGUAACGCGUGGGAACGUACUCUGAACUGCGGAAUAGCUCCGGGAAACUGGAAUUAAUACCGCAUGUGCCCUGAGGGGCAAAGGUUUACCGGUUUGGGAUCGGCCCGCGUUGGAUUAGCUAGUUGGUGGGGUAAUGGCCUACCAAGGCGACGAUCCAUAGCUGGUCUGAGAGGAUGAUCAGCCACAUUGGGACUGAGACACGGCCCAAACUCCUACGGGAGGCAGCAGUGGGGAAUAUUGGACAAUGGGCGCAAGCCUGAUCCAGCCAUGCCACGUGAGUGAUGAAGGUCUUAGGAUUGUAAAGCUCUUUCGCACGCGACGAUAAUGACGGUAGCGUGAGAAGAAGCCCCGGCUAACUUCGUGCCAGCAGCCGCCGUAA